AUGCUGCGUAUGCUCUUCUGUAUCAGCCGCAAGGAUACGGGUUUGGAACAACAUGGGGAUCCCCACUUCGUUGUCACGCCUCCCUCGUCACAGAAUCACCAGCCAUACCCGGAUUCAGCAGGUUUUUUUGAGCGCUUCAGGCCAGUCAUGGACCUAGUCGAUCCGUUACUUCACCUUCGACAAAAGGACCUGUCAAUUGAGGAAUACGUCCAGCUUUUCUGUGAGUUUUCGUACCAUGUGCUGUUUUAUGAUGAGACUAAGGACUUGUUCCAUUUUGGACUCAAUGAGCCUUCAAAAAUCAUUGUUACCCAGAGGGGAUGUUAAUGGUAGUUUAAGGGACAUCAUGGAUAAUUCACUCUUGUUAUGUGGCUCUCCUUUCACCGUGGGAGAGGCAGAACCUCUUCCUAAAACUGUUGCCUUCCCAGAGUCAAGUCACAGCUGAUCGUCCAGAGUCCCGUCACAUCACAGCUGAUCUUCCAGAGCAUUGUCCCGUCUCAGCUGAUCUUCCAGAGUCUCGUCACGACAAGCCUGCCACGCUAAAGCCUGCUCAUGUCAAGCUACAGUCUUCAGCCAGCAUGGAUGCCACUCCAGUGUUCCAGAGCAUUGUGAAUGUUGCUUUUGAAGACAUUAAGUCCGUCCCAAGGCGUUCGAGCCUGGCAUCCAGCAUGGAGGACCCUCAGAUGGUGUGAGCAACUGGCAUUCCAGGGGUCUCUAUGCUCAUGGGCCACGCAGACUCUACACUCAAGCCUGCCGGCCACCACUCACCCCAGUUCCACAGGCACAGCACUGUUAGUUUUGGAAAUAGACAAUGUACUCUCUGUCCUGCCAGUAAUUGGCUACGGCCAUUCUCUGUGUUUGAGCCAUACACAACACUGUAAAUAACCAAAGGUGGCAGCCAUCAGAUCUCAUCAUCAGUUCAUCAUCUCUCACAUUAGUAUAUCACCCACACUCUCUGUAUUUGCUGGUGAUUGAAUGUUGUAUAGUUCUUCUGUGGUUUCUAAGUUUUCUGUGUUUCUAGUUUCACUGUUUCCUUGCCUUCGUGUUUUGAUCCCUGGACUGUUUUCUUGUUUAUGAUUGCUGCCUGCCCUGACCAUUUUCUGGAUUACUCUUUUGUCUUGCCACUGCCAUCAUUGUUUGGUGUUAUAGACCACGCCUGUUUGACUACACUCUUAUUAAAGCCUUUCAUUUGGAUCCCCACUUCUUUGUCAUGCCUCCCUUCCCUCCCUGCCACAGUCCUUCAAUAAUAAUCAAUAUACAAUUGGUUAAUAUAAAAUUGUAUUAAUUUUAGAUUAAAUUAAUAUAAUUUAUCAAUUUUAUGUAUUAAUAAAAAAAUAUUAAUACAA
rnacentral:lncRNA from 1 species